AGCCUGAAAUCCUGCUUCCACUAAGUACCAGCUGGGUAACUUCAGGUGGAGCCCAGUUGACAGGAAAUGUUUCUCCAGAAGCUGAAAAGCUGCCUGGUAAAGGCCUUUCAUAAAAUGGUCUGCGUUUGGGACCAGGAAGACAGAAGACUCCUCAAGAAGAGAACUGGAACCUUAACCCACUUCAGACUUCUUCAUGUCUGAAGCUUAUUUCCACCAUCCCAUUGAGAACCAAAGAAGCGAGCUCCUUGGAGAAUCGGCUCCCACCUGGACCUUCUGUUUAUCCUUCCAAUAGCUGCUGCAUUCAUCCUUCCCAGCUAAUGACACUUCCAGCCUUUCGUGUUUCAAAGUAUCACGGACUUUGCAAAAGAUUCCAGGUUUCUAUGGAGCAGAUAGUACUUUUAACAAUCAACAUGUGCAUUAUUAUUUCCUCCUAAGGCAUACUUAGACAUCAAUGCAUGCUACAGCAAGGCAACUUAUCUCACCCUCACCAAGGUAUGAACUUCAGAAUUUGAACUUGUUCCUUUGGGGUGGCUUCUUCUUGGAUAUCUGAAUGGUGGUGAGAUCAACCUCUGGGCCAGCCAAGUAUGGAACUCAAUCCAAAACAACGGACUUCUUUUGUUUCGUGUCAGUUCAGCUUCCUACAAACAAAAUUAAAGCAGCAUUGGUUUAGUAAUUGGAAAUGCAUAUCAAAGAAAAGAAGCUUAACUCAAAACAGAUUUUCCUAACCAUCUUCAAUGUACAUGUGUAGGAGAAAUGCAUUCUUUAUUUGUAGCAGUGCAAAUGUCAGUGAUUACAAACAUGUGUGUGACUGUUUGCCAGCAAUUUGUUCUUGCCCUUGGAUGAUCAGACCCUUACGGAAUCUAGGCAGACUGUGGAACUUCCAUUGGCUUCCACUGGCUUUGGUGUGAAAUAUAGAGAUAUGAGUAGUGGUGACAAGAGGGGACACGGGAAAGGCCCGUGGGAAUAGGCCUUUGAGGGGAAGCACGCUGAUCUCUUGUUCUGCAGCGCAUGCUUGGGAUGGUAUGCGCAUGCCUUCUCUCACUAAGACUAGGACUGCUUACAGAAUGCGAAUAUAAGUAUCCUUAUUUGGGAGAAAAGUACAUUUUCAAGGGCUGGUAAAAUGACGUGGAGGAAGGGAGGAUCCAGGGAGCCUUCUGAAGAGUAUUGUCAGGAUGUCUCUUCUCUUUCAGCCACCUGGAUAUGUUUCACAUUUUGUUUCCCAAACAAGGACUAGAUUGGAUCCCAGAAGGGAAUGGUUUCCUUAGUAUACAUUCCGAAUUCCUUUGUAAGGGAAAAAUCCACUUCAUCUGGUCUAAGAAUACGUAAGAACAAAUGAAAAUGUUGUGGCUGGAGAUGUUCCUGAGUUAAUAUCAGGAUGUUUGCCUGCUGGUUUCUGUUUUACCAAACAAAACAUAGCUGCCAAUUCAUCCAUCUGUAAAAGUGCUCCUUGUGGACCCCCUCAAGAGAAGUACUGGUUAUUUUAUUUGCAGAAAACGUUUUAUUGGGAGUUGUUUACUUUCUGUGACUGAAGUGGGGAACAUGAGGGUCCCUUUACGGAGCCCUCAUAUUCCAUGUGUACUCUGUAUUUUAUUGAGGCUGUUUCCCAGUCAGAACAGCGUCUCUCUUUGUUUGUCAUUCCAAAUCUUUCAGUGUCUUUAGAGCUCUGAGGGCCCUGGAGAGCCUCACCCAACCUCUCAUCCUUCCAUGGCUGUCCCCACCUCUGUGCACUUAUGAGUCAAUGUUGCCGCACUUCAUUACAUGCUGUUCAUAUUACAGCAUUAUAAGAUUUUUUCUUUUAAAAGCCUAUCUUCUUCAAUCGGGUAGUAAGACCAUUGUGGGUUGAGGCAUGUUUCAUACUUCCCACAUAAUCACUCCAGACUUAAAACAGAACCGGAAAUACAUGAAAUAAAAAAUUAUUUUUCUGUUCUCAAAUAAAAAUUAUUGUUCUGUUCUCUACAAAUCUCCAAGUGCAUAAUGCAGCAAAUAUGCAGGUUAUUCUGAUAUUCUACACUAUUAUUUGAUGAAAAAGAAGAUUUUUAAAUAUGCAGUAAUAGGGAAAAUCCUGUGGUCAUUUAAUGAUUCUGGUAAGUCAAGGAGAAAAAGGUAUAAUUAAUGAGUAAAACCAAAGUGCACAAACUAUGUAACCAGGAAGAGAAAUUGAAAAUUGAAUAACAGAGACUUAGAUGGUGGGGGAUGCAAUUGUCUGGGAGGGGAAUUUUUAAAGCAACUUCUUUGGAUUUUAUAAAAGUUAUAAGCUUCAAGAAAGAGGAUCCAUCUCCCAUUUUUUUUAAAACAAUUCAGCACUUGAUUUAAAACAUUUGAAGGAUAACUAAAUAAAUGUAAAAAAAAAGAGACUAAAUUCUAAAUUGUAAGGGCGGGUUUAAUCAGAAAACACAGUCUUCAAGAAGAGAAUUUCUUAUGGCUGCAUAGUAUUCCAUGGUGUAUAUGUGCCACAUUUUCUUAAUCCAGUCUAUCAUUGUUGGACAUUUGGGUUGGUUCCAAGUCCUUGCUAUUGUGAAUAGUGCUGCAAUAAACAUAUGUGUGCAUGUGUCUUUAUAGCAGCAUGAUUUAUAGUCCUUUGGGUAUAUACCCAGUAAUGGGAUGGCUGGGUCAAAUGGUAUUUCUAGUUCUAGAUGAGUUCAUGUCCUUUGUAGGGACAUGGAUGAAAUUGGAAAUCAUCAUUCUCAGUAAACUAUCUCAAGAACAAAAAACCAAACACCACAUAUUCUCACUCAUAGGUGGGAACUGAACAAUGAGAACACAUGGACACAGGAAGUGGAACAUCACACUCUGGGGACUGUUGUGGGGUGGGGGGAGGGGGGAGGGAUAGCAUUAGGAGAUAUACCUAAUGCUAAAUGACGAGUUAAUGGGUGCAGCACACCAGCAUGGCACAUGUAUACCUAUAUAACUAAC
rnacentral:lncRNA from 1 species